AACGAACGCUGGCGGCAGGCUUAACACAUGCAAGUCGAACGCCCCGCAAGGGGAGUGGCAGACGGGUGAGUAACGCGUGGAAACAUACCCUUUCCUGCGGAAUAGCUCCGGGAAACUGGAAUUAAUACCGCAUACGCCCUACGGGGGAAAGAUUUAUCGGGGAAGGAUUGGCCCGCGUUGGAUUAGCUAGUUGGUGGGGUAAAGGCCUACCAAGGCGACGAUCCAUAGCUGGUCUGAGAGGAUGAUCAGCCACAUUGGGACUGAGACACGGCCCAAACUCCUACGGGAGGCAGCAGUGGGGAAUAUUGGACAAUGGGCGCAAGCCUGAUCCAGCCAUGCCGCGUGAGUGAUGAAGGCCUUAGGGUUGUAAAGCUCUUUCACCGGAGAAGAUAAUGACGGUAUCCGGAGAAGAAGCCCCGGCUAACUUCGUGCCAGCCGCCGCUGUAACAC
rnacentral:rRNA from 1 species